GUGCUCACUUCAGCAGCACAGAUACUAAAAUUGGAAUGAUACAGAGAUUGGCAUGGCCCCUGCACAGGAAUGACGUGCAAAUUCAUGAAGUGUUCUGUAUUUUG
rnacentral:snRNA from 1 species